CGCGGGCGGAGGGCGGGGAGGGGGCAGGGAGCGGGCGCGGAGCCUCCUCCCGGGUUGCUCUUCCCCGGCCGGACGGAGAGCGGCACUGUGUCCCCGCGGCGCACGCUCCACGGAGCCUCCCCCUCUCCCCGGCCGCCGCCACCGAGCAGCUCCGCGGUCCCUGCCCCGCCCGAGCGCAGCCGCCGCCGCAGGAAGCGAGCGAGCCGAGGGCAGCGGCACGACGAGAGGAGGGAGCAUCUACUUCUAUUGACAUCUAAUUUAUAUGUUCGACAGUAUGGUUUCCUGAUAGAAGAGUGCAUUAUAUUUUUUAACAGCAAAAUCUUUAUUAAAUGUGCCAUCAGUGCUGGUUUUGAAAAGAUGAAAAGGGACCCACUGUGGGGCAACUCAGUGAAGCUCAAACUGUGAAGUUGAGAGUGCUACAGGAGUAUUGCUUUUCAUCAGUGCUGAAAUGAAACAGCUGUUUGCUUUAAUUGGAUGCGUGUAGAACGGUGGUACCCAGAAUUGACUAGUGAACCUCCGAGUAUAUUGCAGCCUCUGACUAAUUGUCUACAAUUCCACUUCAGUGAGUGCAGCGUAGCCCUGCUCUUCUAAAUCAUUAUGGUAUUACAACUCCCUUUUAAUCUUGCGAAAAAAUCUCAUUUGUAGCUAACUCCAGACUGAUUCAUAUUAUAUUAUUCAGAACCUGCAAAUGUGGCUGACCUGCAAGUUUGACUGUUGAAGCAGCCUCGACUCUUAGAUUGUUGAAAAUUAUUUCUGUUUUCUUAGUAAACUAAUUUUCCAAAAGAGAAAUUUGAAUAUCUGAAGCCCCUAGUUAAUGUCCUCUUUAAAGUUCAGGACAUGCUCUUAAAAGCAAGUGAGUAAUUUUUCCUUUCAGUUGAAUAUAUUAGCAUUCUCUCUUAUGUAGUAAAAAUUGAGAAUAUAAUAACAGUACAGUGUGCUUUAUAUGAUCACAGGCUUCUAUAUUUUUUAUACUUUCAUUGUGCUUGGUAAUAUCUACAGAGAUAUUGCCCAGGAACCUGCCCAGGAAUUAUGCUGACAAUGUGGUGGUAAACAAAGGAGCUUCUGUCAAAAUAUGUCUGCAGUAGUGGCCACAGUAAAUACCUUAUUUAAAAAGAAAUCAUGGGCAGUGCUGAUCUAUCAUUUUGAUAGAUUUAAUUUAUAGAAUUUUGCUAAGACUUUAAAGAUUGAACAAGGUGACAGUGUUGAUCUGUGCUUUGAUCUAGUAUAUCUGGAUGUAGUGCAAGUCACAAGGCUUUGACCUAUGUGCAAAUUCUGAGGUGACCAGUGUCUUUUCUGCCCACUAAGUCUUCACUGAAUUGUUUACUUCUGCCUGCUUUGUAGUCCACAAAUUUCUAUUCAGAAUCUAAGAGUUUUUCAAAAUUAUCCAGGCAAUGGGUCAAAGAAC
rnacentral:lncRNA from 1 species